rnacentral:lncRNA from 1 species
GCUUCCCAAGUUGCACGUUGAUCAAACCUAACACAUCAGCACACACACCAAACUUAAGGGUGUCUUUGGGGCAACUUGCUUGCUUUGGGGAAGGUGGGUGUUUGGGAACUUUGGGGGGUGGGUUGCAUGGCACAUAUGUGGAGCUAACCACAGUGAAGAAAAGGAUGUUGAGACACAAGAGAAGUGCAGCCUUGGAUGCCAUUUCUCACAAUGGUGUAGGAAGUUGCUCACUGUCACAACACUACCCUUGCUAUGGUUUGUUGUGUGAGCUUGGGAUGGAGUUGAAGAGGAAUGAGUGGGGGUUUUAUAGGGUAGGAUUUGGGGAGAGUCUGCGCGUGCUAGUGCACCCAGCAAUUCUUUAGAAUUCCCAAAAUACCUCUUAACGUUUCCGCACUUAAUGUUACACAUGUGGAAGAACUUUCUUCUUUGAGGGAAGAACUUCUUCCGCAGGAAGCUACGGAAGAACCUUCUUCCGUGAGUUCUUACGGAAUAACUUCUUCGAAAGAAAAUUCUUUCGCAGUUGUAACAUAACAUUUUUCCGUGUCGCGUAAGAACUUCUUCUGCAGGAAGCCAUGGAAUAACCUUCUUCCGUGAGUUAAUUUAUUUUUUUGGUUUUUAAAUUUUUGGAUUAUUUUGUAUUUGUCUAUGUUAUUUUGUAUUUUGUAUUUUACUAUUACAAAAUUUAGUGCAUAUUUAAUUCGGGUUAUUAUUACAAAAUAAAAAAUAUUUAUUUAAUAUAUAUAAAAUUUUGUAAUAGUAAAAAAAUUUGUGAAAGUAAAUAUUUUUUAUUUUUAAAAGAAUAUACGGAUUAAAUAUUUUUUAUUUAAUCUAGGCUACUAUUACAAAAUUUAAUGUAUACUUAAUUUGGAUUACUAUUACAAAAUUUAAUGCAUUAAAUAUUUUUGUAAUAGUAACCCGAAUUAAAGCAUUAAAUAUUUUUUAUUUAAUUCGGUUUACUAUUAUAAAAUUUAGUGUAUAUUUAAUUUGAGUUAUUAUUACAAAAUAAAAAAUAUUUAUUUAAUAUAUAUUAAAUUUGUAAUAGUAAAAAAAUUUGUGAUAGUUAAUAUUUUUUAUUUUUAAAAAAUAUACAAAUUAAACAAUAUAUAGGUUAUUAGCACAGUGCUAUAACCAACCGGGAUAAUGAGAUAAUUAUGUCAUAAAAUAAAUAAUGUUACUAUACAUAUCACUACAAUUUCUAAUGCAUAUUUAAUGCGCAUGUAAAUUUAAAUAAUAAAUUUUAUGAUAAUUAAAUUUGAUAUAAAUCAUAUGAAUUAUUUAAUUUGUAUAUAUAUUUUUUUAAAAAAAAAAUAUUUACUAUCACAAAUUUUUUACUAUUACAAAAUUUAAUAUAUAUUAAAUAAAUAUUUUUUAUUUUAUAACAGUAAUCCGAAUUAAAUAUGCAUUAAAUUUUAUAAUAGUAACUCGAAUUAAAUAAAAAAUAUUUAAUGAAUAUUUAAUUCAGGUUAUUAUUACAAAAAUAUUUAAUGCAUUAAAUUUUGUAAUAGUAACCCGAAUUAAAUAAAAUAUAUUUAAUGCAUUAAUUAAGGUUACGUUUACAAAAAUAUUUAAUGUAUUAAAUUUUAUAAUGAUAACCCAAAUUAAAUAAAAAAUAUUUAAUUCGUAUAUUUUUUUAAAAAAUAAAAAUUAUUUACUAUCACAAAUUUUUUUAUUAUUACAAAAUUUAAUAUAUAUUAAAUAAAUAUUUUUUAGUAAUAAUAACCUGAAUUAAAUAUGCAUUAAAUUUUAUAAUAGUAAAAUACAAAAUACAAAAUAAUCCAAAAAUUUAAAAACCAAAAAAGCAAAUUAACUCACUGAAGAAGGUUCUUCCGCAGUUGAAAAUAACAACAGCAGAAGAACCUUCUUCCGUGCGAUCUCGCGGAAGAACCUUCUUCCAUGUCAUCCGGCGGAAGAAGUUCUUCUGCAGGAAUCCACGGAAAAAGGUUCUUCCGCAGUUCAAAAUCACGUUUUUUAAAUAAGGGCAAUAUUGUCCUAUCACAUAAUUACUGGGUGCACCAACAAUUUGACUGGGUGCACCUAGCAACUCCCUUGGAUUAAUUUGGAGGCCCAUGUUAGUGAACCCAUUGGGUGGAAAUUGAAUAGGCUGGCAGUGGGGUCAGCAGGGAAUAAGGAAUAUAAGAAUAUUUUUUUAAAAAUUACACAGAAUUUUUCGGAUUUAUCCUUAUUAUACUUAAUACUUCACUGUUUUUUAAUUGUCAUAAAAUCUCCUAAUUCUUAGACUUUCAUUAAAUUCACCUCUUCUUGUUAAAUUGUUACACUAAUCUCCCUUUUUAAGCAUAAAAAAUCUUACACCAUCUCCCUUAGGGCAUAGUGAAAGGGAGUUCAAAGUAAUAUAAAAAAAUAAAAGAGUAUCCGAUGUGAUGAAAACAAAUGAAGAAUAUAUAUGCAAUUUAUUCUAAUAUUAAUGAUAUCAAGUAUGGAACCAAAAAUGCAUUUUCCAAUGUGGUUAUAAUUAGUUGUCAACUCGAUGAAAUCAUUUCACGCAUAUGUUUCAAUGGUUUGCUUACUGCUCCGUGGCCAUAGUUAGUUGUUACUCAUAGUAUUUGCUUAUCGAGGUUUUCUUAUUAUGAUUUAUUAAUAGCUAACUAUUUCAUAAUUUUUUGUCACAAUUAGGACAAUUAAUGUUUUUACAUGGUUUUCUUUACAUCUCUAAUGUGUAUGAGUAAAAAUUAACCAAGAAUUACUACAACUUACAGGUUUUACCAAUUGCAUUAAAAAUAUUAAUUACAGUACGUAAAAGGACUAGGGCUGUAUUGCAAUUUUACAAUAUUUUGUAGACCAUGUUAACUUGCAUGACCUGCUAUUGCUAAUACUUAUACACAUAUCAUCAAUUAGAAAGUAUAUUUCAUGACCUCAAAUUUACAGGGCAUAAAAGCAAAAACCCUUUAUUAAUUCUAACCGCGCUCAUUUUCGAUGUAUUUUCCAUUUUGAAACAUAUAGUUCCAAAAUAAGCGUCACGUAAUAAAAUAGUACUUACUGCACGACUGUAAAUAUUGGUGCAUGCAACACAUAAAUUCCCAGACUUGUUAAUAGAUAUUUAUUUAUAUGUACUGUGUCACUGUCAUGAUCUAGAUAAAUAUGACUAUACACAUAUAUAACAAGGUCAAGCAGGUAGUGGCAAAUGACAAUUUGAGAAAAAAAAUUCAAAACAUAAAUAAAUAAUAAUAGAGCUUGCGCACGCAGACAAAUCAGUCACGUUUAAACACCUAUAUACAGCACAUAUACAUGUAUACAUCUUUCACGAUGCUUUAUUUAUAAAACUUAUCCAGCUUACAAUCCAUACUUUUUCACCAAACAAAAAAAACUAUAAUAAAAAUUUACUUAGUUGACUUAAGUGACAAAUGCUAGUUCUAUUUAGCUUCAAUGAAUAUCAAUGUGUAACUCGUCGUAUAAUGAGAAUUACUAGUCUCAAAUUACCACAAACACCAGCGAAACCAGAGCUACAUGCCAUGUACAGAGGUUUACAAUUUGCUUGGUCCAAAGGUAUCCGAAACCUUAUACGUGAGAAUCAGAUUCCAUGACAGUUUUAAACUUCAUUCGAAAUGGAUUGGAACAUUCCCAUCCUGUAGCAGCCAUUAUCAUGCUGAUUAGAGAUUUCAUGAGCUAGCAAAGAUUGGUCACUCUCUUUCCUUCAUAUCUUGAGAGAGAGGGAAAUAGUGUUGCAGAUAGCUUGGCUAAGUGAGGUUCUUCUCAAGAUAAUAGCUGGAUUGCUUUUGAUGACUGCCCAUCUAACUUAAGGAUCCAUCUCAUUGUGAAUGCUGCUGGAAUUCAGUUCUUAAACUGAAAUAGCUUGCUAGUUUCUUGUUUUCUUUGUUUCUUCUUUUGUCUUAAAUUUAUAUUUCUGAAGCAUAAAAAGAAUAGUCUCAGAUUCUUAAUCACAUAUUUAUUAUCUCGAUUAAUCUUUAUAUAAUAUAUAAUCUAAUAUUUUAAUUUAUGAGAAAAAAAUGAAUAACACUUAUCUAAAAGUUUUAUAUAUAUAUAAAUAUAUGAAUAACACUUAUCUAAAAGUUUUAUAUAUAUAUAUAUAUAUAUAUAAAGUUAGUUGAGAAUUAAGAUAAUAAUAACAAGUUCAAUUUGUUGAUCAGUAUAUAUGAAUUAUUAUAAAUUUUAUAAUAUUUAUUUUUAAUUCUUGUAAAUAAAAGAAAAAAUUGAGGCAAUAAUAAUUUCUCGUGUCAUUUGUGUUAGGAUAAUUUCAUUGGUUAAUUAAAGUGAAUUUUAUUUCUUGUUAUUUUCAUUUUGUAUUUUUUUUUCGAUCUCUCUUUAUGCGAAAGAUAAUUGAAAAGCCUUUUCAAUCUUUCUAUGGAUUUCGUUUUAGAAAAGAAAAGAAAAAAAACAAUUUAAACAACAAUUUUACUCUACAGCGCUUUUACAUCUGUUCUACUAGCCUCCUCUGCCUCUCCAUUAUUAGAGUUCUAAUAAUGGGGAUAUAUAUAUAUAUUAUUUCGUAAAUGGGCUUCAAUGCUCAAAAGGAAAUUAAGAAAGGAAAUGGGAAAAAGAGAAAAUAAAUAAAAAGGGAUUGGUAGCGGAAAUAAUUAAUCAUAGCUUAAAUAUAGAUUAUUUAUUAGUAUAAAUUUCACUUAGAAUACAAAGGACAAUAUAGUGGGGCACUGGGGCUGCGACAAGCAAGACCAAGAAGCCUUUCAAGUUUCAACCAUCACCACGGUAAUAGUAACCAGCUACGAACGAAUUGUUCGUUGGCUAAUUGGCACGUGCCAGACGCAAUACUGAAAUACACAGAAUAAUGAUGAAUAACGAAUAUAGCGAUAUAAAACCGCAAGACAUACUUAACAUUAGUAAACUACACAUUAUACAAGUGUUUAUUCAUUAAUAGCAGACGAAUCCCUUGGGAACACCCUUUCCACAGUAGUUGAGAAGCAAGCUCAAGUUCACUGUUACAUUGAGGUUGAUGCCCAACACAUUAGCUUUGAGAGCAGUGCAAAGGCACACAGCAGCUUCAAGAUCAGCGAGACCCUGAAUGAGGUUGCAGCAUGGGGUCUUUGGUGGCUUCCCAAGUUGCACGUUGAUCAAACCUAACACAUCAGCACACACUAUUUUAAUGUUAAUAUUUAUUUCAAAAGAAUUUUUUUAGAAGAUUUAAUUAAAUGUACAAGAAAAAUUAUGACAUUUAAAUUCAAGAAUUUGAAAUUCAAAUCUCCUACAAUUAAGCAAUCAAUUACAUUUCCUAUUAAUGCUAAUAAAAGUGAGAAUCAAGUGGGGAACAAUAGCAAUUAUAGGCUCAUAAUUGAUGAUAAAAAGGGGGGUUGGCUGAAGGUAUUUGAACGUGAUUUUAAAAGGUUAUGGGCCAAUUGUUUUGUUCCUCCUCUUUACUUCUAUUAAGCUUUUCCCCUCUUUACUCCUAGGUCAAUUAUUUUUCUUUGUGAAUUAUGUAACAUUAGUUUUGCUAAGAUAUUCUUGUUGUAUUCUGGGAGGUUUGUGUGGGACAUUGCGGAUAAACCUUUUAGGUCAGUGAUUGUCACGCCUCAGGAAGUUCAACCGCGUUUGUAAUUUUCGACUUCAGCAACAAUAAUCUAAAAGGUUUAUAUCAUGGUUGAAGCAGCAAAACCUGUCAACAAUGCCUGACGCUUCCAACCCUAUGCCACCGAUUUCAACCUUUGUCAAGCUGCUGCCUGAUGUCUCAAAAAUUGAGGUCUUCACUGGCCAAAACUUUUGUUGUUGGCAGGAACACGUUCAUAUCUUGUUGGACGUGCAUGUAGUUGUCUUCGCUUUUUCCACUCCCAAACCUGAUGUCGUUGAUGAUGCCAGUCAACUUCAACAAUGGGUUCAAGCCAAUAAGGUAUGUUGUCACACUUUGUUAAGUGUUUUUCUAAUGAUCUUUUCGAUGUCUACUGCUCCUACAAGGAAUCCAAAGAGAUAUCGGACUCUCUCAUACUCAAAUACACUGUAGAAGACAUGGUCAGACAAAGAUUCAUCAUCGCCAACUACUACCGUUGGAUCAUGAAUGAAGAAAAAGACAUCAAGGUACAAAUCAACGAAUACCACAAUCUACUAGAAGACCUAAAGACUAAAAACAUUUCUCUACCUGACCAGUUCGUUUAUGAACUCCUGAUCACCCACAAACAUACAUCACUGUCAGACCUUAUCACCCACAUUAUCAUUGAAGAUACAAAUAGGAAGGAAAGUGUUGCAGCAAGGACCAAAGCAAUGUAUGCCAAGGCAAACACGGUACAACAAGACAAACCAUUUCAUAAGAGGUAUGCCGACAAAAUUGAUCACAAUACCAAGAAUAAGUACAAAUAUAACAACCCACGUGUUGCUCCUUCUAAUCUCAUCCCACGUGCUCCUACUUCUAAUUUCUUUCAAGAAAAAUGGAGCUUGUUUUGUUUGUGGGAAGCCAGGACAUUUUUCUCCUCAGUGCAGGUACAAAGUUGUGAGAAAUGACAAUCCUUCUAUGCCUAGGGCUAACUUGGUUGAAGGAGAUGACAUUAUUGUUGCGGUCAUUUAUCAAGUGAAUGUUGUCACCGAUGUGAACAAAUGGGUGGUAGACUCUAGGGCUACCAAGCACAUCUGUGCUAAUAAGAAUAUGUUUAUCUCCUACAUUGUUGUGCGGGAUGGAGAAGAAUAAGUUUAUCUUGGUGAUUCGAGAACAACUUGUUAACUCGUUGGCAAGUGUACCAAAUCGUCACAAGUAGUAAAGUUCUCGGAAGUCCGAGUGUCGAAUCCACAAGGACUUUGUUUGUCCUUAGAUUAAUGCAAACCCAAUUUAAAAGCAAGAGAUAAGAAUUUAAAAUAAAAGAUAAAGAAAGAUAGAAUAUAAGGUAAAGAAAAGAUAAGAUAUUUAAAGAUAAAAUUAGAAGAUAAAAGAAAAAGAUAAAAGAUUGAAAGAUCAAAAUAGAAGAUAAAAGAUUUAAAUUGUGAUAUGAUAAAGAUAACUAUUUUUACGAAAUUCAAAUAAAGGAGAAAUAAAAUCUAUAUAAUAAAAUUGCUAAAACGUAACAAGUCUAAUCAGCCUAGAUAUAUGGAUUCAGGAUUUGUCUGUUAUCAAUACCAGUGAACUAAUUCUGCCCCACAUCUAUCCAUCUACUUGCCCCUGAUGCCUCACGAUGACAAGCCUACCUUAAUUACCUAUCUUCCAAAUGCUCUUUGCGAAGACUCAAUAACUAAGAUGCAUUAGGAUUACAUUCUAGAUGUUUGCUAAAGCAUGGGCAUUGGGGCAUUAAGUCAUGCUAACCCAAUAAUUUCUUUCUUUUAUUGUUCUAUUAAGCGUUACCCUCUCCCGAGUGGCCUAACCCUUAAAACCGAUUCACGCAUUCAUUCCUUAUCCCUAAUUAGGCUUUACCCUCUCCCGAGUGGCCUAAAGACUAACAUAAAACAAAGUCCGAGAUGCAGAAUAAGCAAAAAAGAAAAGCAGAUAAAAGAAACUGGAAGGAAAAAUCCUCUAAAAGAUAACUCGAUAAUUUCCUCCUUUUAGUGUUCUCUUAAGCGUUACCCUCUCCCGAGUGGCCUAACCCUUAAAACAGAUUCAAGUAUUCAUUCCUUACCCCUAAUUAGGCUUUGCCCUCUCCCGAGUGGACUAAACCCUAACAGAAAGCAAGUUCAGAGAUACAAGAUGUAAAAAGAAAGAACGGUAAAUAAAGAACCUGGAGGAAAUUCCUCUUUUUAUUGAUAACUCUUGAAAUGCUCCAUACAUCAUUGGCUUUUUAGGCAUGCCAGGCCCUAGCUAGGGGAUUAGCCACUCAUGGUUAUGAGGGCUUUACAAUGAGAGGAGGGGUGAAAGAAAGAAAGGGAGUAAAUGAAACCCCUAGGAGAGGGGGUUCUGUGGUGGUCUGCUCUGUCCCUUGGACUGACUCUUUAUUUAUAGCUGCUGAAGUGGGCUUUGGGCCUUCGUAGGCACACUUAGCGCGACACCCCGCGCUUAGCGCGUGUACUUCCUAGCCCGCUUAGCCCGUGAUGCGCGCGUAUUGGGUUGGGCCUUCUUCAAAUUUUCUUCUUUUCUUCAAUUUUUCUGCCUUUUUUGCUUGUUACACCUCCAAUUUUUAUAUCUGCACCCAAAAAUUCAAUUUAAUUAAUUUUCUAACUUUUAAUCACAAAUAAAUGCUAAAUAAUUAAUUUCUGGCCAAUAUUUGACUAAUUUUCUACUAUCAAAAUACAAUUAUUUAGCAGUUAUCACAACUCCGGUUCAAGGAAAAGGAAAGUUCUUCUCAAGCUCACAUCUGGGAACACACUGGCUUUGAAUGAUGUGUUACAUGUUCCCUCUAUCAGAGUUAACCUUGUUUCUAUAGCAUUGUUGGGAAAGGUUGGGGUAAAGAUAUCCUUUGAGUCUAAUAAGAUAGUUAUGACUAAGAAUAAUGUAUUUGUGGGGAAGGGUUAUUGCGAUUAGGGUCUCUUUGUACUCAAUGUUUUUGAAGUGAUUAAUGAGAAUGCAUCUUUUUAUGCUUACUUGAUUGAUUCUUACUAUAUAUGGCAUGCUAGAUUAGGACAUGUUAAUCCAACGUAUGUUAUGAAAUUGCAACAACUGGGUUUAAUUAAUAUGCAUGAUAAACAAAGUAAGAAAUGUGAAAUAUGUGUUAAAUCAAAAUUAACUAAAAAAUCAUGUCCUUCUGUACAACGUGAAACUGAACUGCUAGGCUUAAUUCAUUUUGAUCUUGCUGAUUUAAAACAAACUAUGACAAGAGGAGGUAAAAGUUACUUUGUAACCUUUAUAAAUGAUUACUCUAGAUAUACUAAGUUUAUCUAAUUAGACACAAAGAUGAAGUGUUUGAUAUAUUCUUAUCUUAUAAAGCCGAAGUUGAAAAUCAAUUGAAUAGAAAAAUCAAGAGGCUAAGAUCUGAUAGGGGUGGUGAGUACACUUUGCUUAAUGACUUUUGUGAAAAGGAAGAUAUAAUUCAUGAAGUAACCCCACCAUAUUCACUUAAGUCAAAUGAAGUAGCUGAAAGGAAAAAUAGAACCCUUAAGGAAAUUAUGAAUGUUUUACUUGUUAGUUCCUCUGCUCUUAACAACCCUUGGGGAGAAGCCUUCUUGACUGCUUGUUUUUUAUAAAAUAGAAUUUCACAUAAGAUAACAGGUUUGAGCCCUUAUGAGUUAUGAAAAGGAUAUAAACCAAACCUCAAAUAUGAGAGUGUGGGGGUGCCUAGCUAAAGUGAUGUUACCCAAUCCAAAGAAAAGGAAAAUAGGAUCUAAGACUUUUGAUUUCCUGUUUAUUGGUUAUGUUGAACAUAGUGCUACCUAUAGAUUUCUAGUUCUUAAGAGUGAUAUGAUUGAGUGUGAUACCAUCGUGGAGACAAAGAAUGUCGAAUUCCUUGAGGACGUUUUCCCUUUGAGGUCUAGGGCUAGUUCUAGUACCGUUUCUAGUCUUAACCAACUAGUUGAAACCUAUAAUGAACCUAUAAGCAAGGAUUUGAGGAGAAGUAAAAGACAUAUGAUAGAGAAAUCUUUUGGAGAUGACUUUUAUACAUAUCUUAUUAAGGAUGAUUCCUUAAGUUUUUCAGAAGCUAUUAAUUCUUUAGAUGCAAACCUUUGGGAGCAAGCCAUUAGGACUGAAAUUGACUCUAUUAAAAAGAAUAAUACAUGGACUUUAGUAGAUCUACCUAAGGGUGCAAAUCCUAUUGGAUGUAAAUGGAUCUUUAAGAAGAAGUAUAACCCUAAUGGAUCUAUAGAUAAGUACAAGGCAAGGUUGGUUGCCAAAGGGUUUACACAAAAAUCUAACAUAGAUUUUUUUUAUACCUUCGCACCUGUUACAAGGAUUUCCUCCAUUAGGAUUUUGAUAGCCUUAGCUGCAAUCCAUAAGUUAGUGAUUCAUCAGAUGGAUGUUAAGAUAGCUUUCUUGAAUGGUGAUUUAGAGGAAGAGAUAUAUAUGACUCAACCUGAGGGAUGUGUGGUGAAUGGUCUAGAGAACAAAGUGUGCGAACUUUUGAAAUCCCUAUAUGGUUUAAAACAAGCGCCUAAACAAUGACAUGGAAAAUUUAAUGAGACUUUACUUGUUGAUGGUUUUUCUAGUAGUGAUGCUAAUAGAUGCAUGUAUACAAAGUCUGUGAAUGAUGAUCAUGUUAUUAUAUGCUUUUAUAUGGAUGACAUGCUUAUUUUUGGUACAUGCAAUGAUAUAGUUUUUAAAACUAAAUUUUUCUUAGCAUCUAAAUUUGAUAUGAAAGACAUGGGUGAAACAAGUGUUAUUUUGGGAGUUAAAAUUAUAAGGAAGGGAGAUAGUAUAUUACUAUCCCAAGAGCAUUAUGUUGAGAAACUUCUUGGGAAGUAUAAAUAUUAUGACUUUAAGUCAGUGAGUACCCCUUAUGAUGCUAACUCUCAAUUAAAGAAAAAUAGAGGAAAACCAAUUGUUCAAACUCAAUAUGCCCAAAUCAUUAGGAGCUUAUUGCAUUUGAUGAACUUUUAUAGACUUGAUAUUGCAUAUGCAGUAGGCAGAUUGAGUAGAUAUACCCAUAGUCCUAAUUAGGAUCAUUGGGAUGCACUUGUUAAACUCAUGAGAUAUCUGAGAGGUACCAUGGAUUAUGGUAUUGAAUACAGUGGAUUUCGCAUAAUAAUUGAAGGGUAUAGCGAUGCUAACUAGACCUCUGAUUCAGAUAAGACAAAAUCCACUAGUGGUCAUGUGUUUGAUAACUACAAAAUUUGAGUUAAUUUGGCAGUCAAUUUUACGGUUGUUUUUAAUGAAAUAAUGAAGAAAUUAAUAUCUUUGCAAUUUUUUAUCAGCAGAAGUUAAAAGAAGAAGAUUUCAAGUGCUUUGGAGGAAAAUUGAUGCAAAAAACUAGAAGAAAAAUCCUUAAAGAAAAGUUAAAGAUUGGGAUAGGUCGCUUAGCGCACAAGACAAGCUCAGCACGUCUCCUCGUUUAGCAGUCAGCUCACACUUAGCGCAAAGAAGGCCUACGAAGAAGCCCAAAUGUGUGCUUAGCGCGAAAGCCAACACUAAGUGUGAGGUCACGUGGAAAUUGAGCUACCUUAGGCCUAUAAAAGGAGUAGAAAGCAAAGGAGAAAGACACUAACACAUCGACCAACACACUGAGACGCCGAGAUUCAGAGUUCUCUAAUGAAUACAUUCUAAGCCAGAGUAUCUCAAAUAGGAGAAAUCCUCUUUCUAUGUUAUUAUCCCCUUCUCUUUCUUUAUCCAUUCCUUCCCUUCUUCUAUCCACAUCAACCCCUAAAGUGUAAAGCCUUUCAUGGCCAUGAGAGGCUAAACCCCAUUGUUGGGAGCCCAGCAGCCAAUACUCUUGCAAUGUAAUCUUUUCUUAUUAUUUAAUAAAUGCAAUGCCAAUUUUUAUUGUUUCUUUCCUGCGCUUUAUUGUUAUUGUAUGGUUUGAUCAUCCAUGCAUUAGUUUUAGGAGUUAUACAUUGAGAAAUGAUAAUUUCUAAAGAACUGGGAAAUGGCAUCUAAACAAUUCAUUGCUAGGAAUAACAUGACUUUGUUUUGUCUCUACAUACAUCUCUAUGCUUUAUGUGAUUUACUAUUCUAUCUUUUCAAAGGGAUUUGGGAGGGAGAAUAGAUAAAUUAGGCUUUUCAUCGUAAGGGAUCAGAGUUGAGUGUCUUAGUAGAUAUGAGUGGAAAUUAAAAAACCAUUAAAUAGAGAAAAACAUUAAUAUUGCAUCAAGGGUAGUUAGGCAUACUAGGCCCCAACAUAUUUAAAUUCUGAAUUUACCUUUAAGCAUUAUCAUCACCUUUAUCUUUAUCAUCUUUUACUUUAAAUCUUUAUCUUAUCUUCUACCUCUCUUUAUCUUUUAUUUUAAAUUCCUUAUCUCUUGCUUCUAAAUUGAAUUUGCAUCAAUCUAAGUAUAAACAAAGUUCGUGUGGAUUCGACAUUCAAACUUUCGAAUACUUUACUACUUGAGACAAUUUGGUGCACUUGCCAAUGAGUUAAAAGUGUUUACUCUUGGUGGUGGUGCAAUAGCAUAGAGAUCAGCCGGACAAACUAUUAUUGCUUGAUCAACAAUGGAAUCAGAGUUUGUUGCUCUAGAAAUGGCUGGUAGUGAGGCUGAGUGGUUGAAAAACUUCUUAACUAACAUUCCUUUGGGAAUGAAACUGACCCCAUCAAUAUCUAUGCAUUUUGAUUCCCAGUCAACAAUAGCUAUGGCUAAGAAUAAAACAUUCAAUGGGAAAAAUAGGCAUAUACAACUGAAACAUAAUGUGGUUAAGCAACAGCUAAAAGAUGGAACAAUUUCCAUAGAUUAUGUGAAGUUAGAAGGAAACUUAACAUAUCAUUUGACAAAACCCUUAGGGAGGAAUAUGAUAUUAGAAACAUCAAAGGGAAUGAGACUUAAGCCACUUGAAAAAAAACAAAUGAUGGUAACCCAACCUUUGUGAUUGGAGAUCCCAUAAAGAAGAUUCAUAUGGGUAAAAACAAGUCAUUUGUCAGUUCUACUAGCACUCAAAUUGAUUUCUAUCAAUUUGUUUUUAGUCCCUUCCUAUGGGGAGAAAGUCUCAUUACUACAUUAAUGAGAGGAUAAACUUUAUAGUAAACUUUACAUGUUUGAGAAAGUUUUACAUCUUAUAAAGUUUUUAAUAAUUUUCAUAUCCCUUAUGGGUGGUGUAUGAUUUGCAGCAUGCACUUGCUGAAAUCACCUAUAUGAAUGUCAAGUGGGGCAGCUUGCAUGAGAUCUUGGCGAGAUCUCUAAAGCACUCAUGAAUAUCGGGCAUGUGCAUGGCCUAGUAACGCAACACAACAAUAACAAAAAAUAUUGUGGGGAUGUCUUGUGAUUGGUAGACCACUAUCACACGCCAAGUGUUUUUGGUUCAUAUAGCUUGCUACACCAACUACAUUGUGUGUUAAGUUCUAUGAGUCUAGGUUUGGUUCAUAUAACUUGUUAUACCAGGUCUGAUGCAUUACACCUCAUGUUGACCCAUGAAUUUUAUUUUAUUUAUUAAAAGUAAUUUAUUCUUUUGAAAUAUGUGGGGGAUUGUUGUAAUUUUAAUAUUUAUUUCAAAAGAAUUUAUUUUGAAAAAGAUUUAAUUAAAUGGACAAGGAAAGUUAUGACAUUUAAAUUCAAGAACUUGAAAUUCAAAUCUCCUACAAUUAAGCAAUUUGUUACAUUUCCUAUUAAUGCCAAUAAAAGUGGGAAUCAAGAGGGGGAUAGUGACAAUUAUAGGCUCAUAAUUGAUGAUAAAAAAAAGUUGGCUUAUGGUAUUUGAAUGUGAUUUUAAAAGAUGAUGGACCAAUUGUCAUGUUCCUCCUCUUUGCUUCUAUUAAGCUUUCUUCCUCUUUACUCUUGGGUCAAUUAUUUUUCUUUGUGAGUUCUGUAACCUUAGUUCUACUAAGACGUUUCUAUUGUAUCUUGAGAGGUUUGCGUGAAACACCGCAGAUAAACUUUUUAGGUCAGUGACUACCACGCCUCAGGAAGUUCAACCGUGUUCGUGAUUUUUGACUUCAGCAACAACACACACUAAACUUAAUAGUCUCUUUGGGGCAACUUGCUUGCUUUGGGGAAGGUGGUUUUGGGACAGAUGGGUGUUUGGGAGUUUUGGGGGGUGGGUUGCAUGGGACAUAUGUGGAGCUAACCAUAGUGAAGAAGAUGAUGUUAAGACACAAGAGAAGUGAAGAAGCCUUGGAAGUCAUUUCGCAAGGUGUUGGAAGUUGCUCACUCUUAGAACACUAAACUCUUACCUCGGUUUGUUGUGUGAGCUUGGGAUGAGGUUGAAGAAGAAUGAGUGGGGGGGUUUAUAGUGUAAGAUUUUUAUACUACUUUGGUCACAAUUCAUCCACGUCCAGUUACCUCAAUAUGAGUUGAAGUUUCUGCUAUUAAUUUCAAAGUUGUUACAAACUCUAUGCACACACAAUGAGAUUAAAAUAAACCCUCUUCUCAAAUCCUCCAAGAAGAAAACACAAUCACCUUUAUGAAACCCUUCCAUAAGAAACCUUAUUCCAUAUCUACACACAAACCUUAGAAAAGGAAACGUUUAGGAAUGAAUUCACUUGAUAUGAAGAAUCCAACAAUUAAGCACAAUUAUGCCAAUGAAGAGAGCUAAGUCGUGAUCACUUGAUGUGAAUCAAAGAUGUAAUAAAAGAUGUAUCUCAUCCUUCUUGAUAAGCUUCAAAACUCACAAUCGAAUAUGAGUGUUAGAGUUCAAAACAAGGAGUGAUGGCAUUAGUAACAUUUUAGAUUUUAACUAAAAUAAUCAACUAUUAUAUGUUAUCGAUUAAUUUUUCUUAGUUGAUUCAGGGUAAGCUUAAGACUUAUUUUAACUGAUCAAAUUAUGUGUGUAAUCGAUUAAAAUAAUAAGACAUCAUUUUUACAAGAACCACAAGGAACCUGAUGUAAUCAAUUAACUCAAGGUGUAAUCAAUCAAAACAGUGAAGGCACAUGUUUGUAUAAAAUGUGCUUUUGUUCAUUAUGUAAUUGAUUAUCUUGAUAAGUUAUCAAUUGAAUCAAUAACAUUACUUCUUCCCAAACUCAGUUUUACUUAGUGUAAUCGAUUGCAACUAAUUAAUAAUCAAUUAUAACAAUAACAUGUUAUUUUGAUUAAAUUGACUUAGAUCCUCUUAAAAUGUUAUUUUUUUAUGCUUAAUAAGGGCUAAAAGCCCAACUUAAAAUGUCAUGUUUAUUGUACAUUUACUUGGCUAUACUAUGCUAACCAUACAUAACCUAAUCUAAACAACCAAUACAAUAUGCCAAACCAAAAUGGUGUUGCGCAUGUAAAAUCAAAAUCAAAACGAAUACAAGCACAAGUUUUCAAUUACAAGCUUUAAUGACAAUUAACUACAUGUCCUAGACUACAUAAAUAAUUUAUCAUCUUAAGCUUAAAUAAAUUUUUUGUUCUUGUCAUAUAUUAUUUUUUUGUCUUCAUAAAAUUAUUUUUUAAAAUGAUCCUUCUAAAUUUUCCCUUUUUUAUUUUUUGUUGUUGCUAUUUUAAUUUUAUCAUUGUAAUAUAAUCAUUAUUUUGUCCAUGUAAUAUGUGCAUAAUUUGCUUUUAGUUCCUAGCAUUUUUUAGAGGGACUCACUCAAAAUGCACAAAAUAUUAUAGACACUAAAAUUAAAUGAAGAAAAAAAAGAUAUAUUACAAGAAAUAAAAUAAAAUAAUAAAGAUAAAAAGUUAAAAAGAAUACAAAAUUAUUUAAAAAAUAUUUUUAAAAACUUAAAAACAUAUUUUAUAGAAACCAACAACAUAUUUAAAUCCCCACAUAUCAAUUUUGUUAAAAUUAUUUCAUUGGUGAAAGUGAAAAAUUAAUCUUCACCUUUGUCGUUUUCCUUUUGUAUACUUCGAUAUUCGGAAGAUUAUUGAAAAGCUUCCAUUCAGUCUUUCUAUUGAUUCGAUUUAGAAAAAAGAUAAAAGAGCAAUGGCAGACUAAUUUUACUCAGCCAGCAGCCUCUGUCUCUACAUUAUUAGAGUUCUAAUUAUUUUUAUGCAGAAUGAAGAUGAUAAAGUCUGAACCUAAAAGCUCCUACAAGUUACCCAACCUUCCACUGUUAAGCCCAUAUCUGUACAAGAUUUCAUAAGUGGAAUGCUAAAAUGGAAAUAGAGAUAGGGAAAAAGAAGAUUGAUAGAGGAAAUAAUGUUGCAUCUUUAAUUAGCUUAAAUGCAGAAUUUUUAUUAGUAGAAUUUUUCACAUAGAAUACACAAGAGAAGUGAGACUACAAGAAAGAUCGAAGCCUUUCAAGUUUCAACCAUCACAACAAUAAUAAUAACCAAUUACGAACGAAAUGUUCGUUGGCUAUACGGAAUACAAAAGUACAAAGUACAAAGGAUGAUGAAUAACGAAUAUAGCGAAAUAGAACCUUGAGACAUACUUUACAUUAGGAAACUACACAUUAUAGAAGUGUUUAUUCAUUAAUAGCAGACGAAACCCUUGGGAACACCCUUUCCACAGUAGUUGAGUAGCAAGCUCAAGUUCACUGGAACAUUGAGGUUGAUGCCCAACACAUUAGCUUUGAGAGCAGUGCAGAGGCACACUGCAGCUUCAAGAUCAGCGAGACCCUCAAUGAGGUUGCAGCAUGGGGUCUUUGGUGGCUUCCCAAGUUGCACGUUGAUCAAACCUAACACAUCAGCACACACACCAAACUUAAUAGUGUCUUUGGGGCAACUUGCUUGCUUUGGGGAAGGUGGCUUUGGGACAGGUGGGUGUUUUGGAGUUUUGGGGGGUGGGUUGCAUGGCACAUAUGUGGAGCUAACCACGGUGAAGAAGAGAACAUUGAAACACAAGAGAAGUGCAGCCUUGGAAGCCAUUUCACUAUGGUGUUGGAAGUUGCUCACUCUUACUUUG